rfam:Pteropus alecto contig61054, whole genome shotgun sequence.
GUCUACGGCCAUCCCACCCCGAACAAGCCCAAUCCUGUCUGAUCUCGGAAGUUAAGCAGGUCAGGCUUAGUUAGUACUUGGAUGGGAGACCACCUAGGAAGACUACGUGCUGUAGGAG